CCUUUGACGUUAGCGGCGGACGGGUGAGUAACACGUGGGUAACCUACCUAUAAGACUGGGAUAACUUCGGGAAACCGGAGCUAAUACCGGAUAAUAUUUCGAACCGCAUGGUUCGAUAGUGAAAGAUGGUUUUGCUAUCACUUAUAGAUGGACCCGCGCCGUAUUAGCUAGUUGGUAAGGUAACGGCUUACCAAGGCGACGAUACGUAGCCGACCUUAGAGGGUGAUCGGCCACACUGGAACUGAGACACGGUCCAGACUCCUACGGGAGGCAGCAGCU
rnacentral:rRNA from 1 species